GGCAUCAGGGAUGGAGAUGGGAGUCACCCUCUCAGGAAAGGAUGGGAAGAGGAGUCGGCCCCUCAUCUUUUGGUAUCUAGUCACUAUUCACAACCCACAUACGAGCUACAUGGUCUCAAGUCUCAGGCUGGGAACACACUGCUCCUCAUGAGGGUAGGUGCAGCCUCCAAAGCACUGCAAAGUCCCAAUCACAGAAACAAGUGGCCAGCCUUUAUCUGCACAUACUAAGUUGCUUUUAUUAAUCCAGAACGGCAUGCUACAGAUACUGUACAGCAUGAACAUUUAUUCAUUACAAAAAUGGCUUUCAAACCAUUAAAAAUGAACUUGGAAUAAGAGCAUAAAACGGAACAGUAACAUCACAACUGUUAGGAAACAUUCAAAGUAUUCACAAAAAAUGUUAUAGUUAGCAUUUUAAUAAACCAGAGAAAAAUCAGAGACAGUUUUACAAUCGCUUCAUGUCAACUACAAUGGCACUGAAUGAACAGGUUUCAGCUUUAUACAGCAUUUUGCAACAUCAACAUGCCUAGGUUUUUUUUUUUUAUUUUUAAAGUUCGCUACCUACUUGUAUGUAGUAUGUGUACAUAAAAGCGGCAGCUGGUUUUUCGUUUAAGAGUAAUCUAAUAUACAGAAUUUUGGCCCUUAAGGGUUUAUACCUCUUCAUUUAAAAUGCUUUCUGGACAAUCUGCUACCAAACACAUUUUGUUAUAGGUGACAUUAAAACUACAUACAAAUCUACCUAUGUAACAUCACAGCAAAACAUGAUGAACGAAAAGUACAGCAUCAAAAAGGGGGAGAAAGCUAAAGUCACUGAGAGUUUUGGCACAUAAAGUUUUGCACACGGUCAGUCCAUGUUCCUAAGGGCACAGGGCAUCUGACUAGGAGUUCAAAAGGGAAGGAGGGCAGUUACCACGGGCGCUCAGACAGCAUCGCUAACAUUCCCUCACCAAUGUUCAAGUCUUGCUUUACGUAAUGGCUUUUAAAGCAACUUUUGUUAAUGCUACUGAUCCUUAAUGCAACUAUUAAUGUCCAUUUAGCGGCAUCUGGGUUUCAUACAGGAAAACAAACAAACAAAAAAAGAGGUCAAAAAGGGAAACAAAAAAAUAUAUACACAUUUUUAUAUAUAAACUUAAAAACCUUGUACAAAUGAGUUGUUAUAUAUAAGAUGCUUAUGCUAAGGGAGAAAAAAAACUUUACACAGUUUCAAGAAAAAGGAAAACAUAUUUUAAAAGGGGACAACGUACAGGUACGACAAGCAAUCUCUAAAGCAAUAAAUACUACUGGUCCAACAGCGUUGUGAUUCCAUUAAUUGUUGAGUAGCAUCCCCCCUCCCCCAAAAGAACAACACCAUGGGACAAGGUUUAUUAACACAUUUUACCCUUUGUUUCUGUACAUUUAAACAAUAACAAGUAACAUCACAAUAAAAGUUGUUUCACACAGAAAAAAAAAAAAAAAAAGAACAGGCACUGCAUUCCUCAGUGCCCUCAACGGUUUAAAAACUAGGUGUAAAAUGAUUGGUUCGCAAGCUCAUAUUUAAUACAAAUAAUACAGAACUCCUUCUGGAGGGCUGCUUCAAAAUUGCUUCUCUCUCUUUUUUUUCUUUUUGUUUUUUAAUCAGUCUUUUAAAACUAAGCUAUCCGAACUACAUAACAGUUAUGUAUAUAUAUAUAUUUAUAUAUAUAUUUUAAACGCUACAAAGACUUUAAACAGCUGUUGAUAAAAAUUUUGGUAGAAUCAUGAGGUUCUUCUCUCAUCUACAUAUUUAAAAGGAGAAAUUGAAAUAAGAAUGGGUCAAAUAUUGACCAAUGAACUCGAUAAACACCAACUCAUGUAGCCACGUGGCACAAAACUAGAGUACGAAACAAAAGCUUUCGCGGGGGGGAGCGCAAACCGAGAACCGGACGACACACUCAAACCACGCGGGCGGCGGAGCUAAAGCUAUUCUAAAGACUUGGUGACGAGGGACAGAGGGCGGAGGCCUUGCCGUGGGCGGCCUCGGCCAGCAGGAGCGCGGGCGGCGGGGGCAUCAUGGCCAGGUGAGCCAGGGGGUCGGGCUUCAGGGACAGCGACAGCGGCUGGGUCUGCUCAGUCUGUGACUUGGCGUCUCGGGGAGGGGAGCCUAGCAGGUGCGGGGAGGGGAGGCGAGUCUAGUAGGCUUCCAUCUGAAGAGGGUGGGCUGAGGCAGCUGCCUUCACCUUGUAUGUAGCGAACGCACUUUUUUUUCUCCUAGAAACAGGGGGAGAGAGUUGUCUGUGAAUAAAGGGCAAAGACGUCACGGGAGACAGUCACCUAAUGUUCACGGCCACGGUGAAGCCACCUAAGGGAUGCCCGGUGCGCAGCAGGCCCGUGGCAGGUGGCCCGUGGCAGGUGGCAGGUGGCGCUGACGGGCUGUGGGUUCCCUAGCCACGCCCCUGUCUGCUCUGCUCUGCCACGAGGGACCUUUCAGAGGGCGCACUACCUGCCCCACCCCACCCCACCCCCGAACACCCACGAGGCCAGCCCUGCCCAAACAGAAACGAACAGACGAGAGGCAG
rnacentral:lncRNA from 1 species